rnacentral:rRNA from 1 species
UGAAUUGACGGGACCCGCACAAGCAGCGGAGCGUGUGGUUUAAUUCGUUGCUACACGAAGAACCUUACCUGGGUUUGACAUAUAGGUUGUAGGGAACUGAAAGGGACCGACCCUUCGGGGAGCCUAUACAGGUGUUGCAUGGCUGUCGUCAGCUCGUGUCGUGAGAUGUUCGGUUAAGUCCGCUAACGAGCGCAACCCUCGUCGUAUGUUAUAUGUGUCAUACGAGACUGCCGGUAAAAGCCGGAGGAAGGUGAGGAUGAUGUCAAGUCAGCAUGACCUUUAUAUCCAGGGCUACACACACGCUACAAUGGUCUGUACAAUGGGUAGCCAAGCCGCGAGGCGGAGCCAAUCCUGAAAGCAGGCCUCAGUUCAGAUUGCAGUCUGCAACUCGACUGCAUGAAGCCGGAGUUGCUAGUAACCGCAGGUCAGCAAUACUGCGGUGAAUACGUUCCCGGGUCUU